rnacentral:tRNA from 2 species
CGGGCUAUGGCGCAGUUGGUAGCGCGCAUGCAUGGGGUGCAUGAGGUCGCGGGUUCGAGUCCCGCUAGCCCGACCG